CGCCCAGGAGGGAGCCUGUCACCCAGGGUUUCCAGGGGAGACUGUGGCCCACGUCCCUGGGGAAAAAAUGCGCCGAGGCAGCAGGGAGCGAUCCCCGCAGGCGCCCAGGCUGAGGCCGGCCGCCUUCUGGGGCGCUGAGACCUGCCUGCUGCAGGCAGUUCGCAAACAGUACGCCCGGAUUCUUUUCAGUGUAAAAAGGCCCUAUUAAAAAUAACUCCUUAAGCCUAUCAUCUCUUUUAAAUAAAGGAGAAGAAAGAGAAAAGUGUGUUCUGUUUUGUAAGACCUGAUUUUAGGUAACUAGUCGUGGCACUGAGAGUUUGACCUAAGGCUCAGCAGUGUGACAGCAACUACAGCAUCCAUCCCCGCAUCCCAGCACUGUGUGCCGCGAGGGAGGAGGACCUGGGGAAUGAAAAGGGACUCUGGAGAGGGCUGGCUUCACGAGUAUGCGACCUGUGCAGUCACAGAGCGCCCGAACUUAGAAGGACUAACUCGCUGCUGUUGCUCUCUUGAAUUUGAAUAAGGGUCACUGCAUUUUCAUUUUGCACUUAGCCUGGCAUAGUAGUAGCCUAUCGCGGUCUUAUUUUGUACCCUCUCUCACACACAUCUCUUUGCGUUUAAUAAACAUGAUAAGGCAAUUUAUUAUUAAAAGUAAGAAAGUGUCUUGUGCCUAGAAUGAACCUAUUAACUCACAAUUUAGCUUUGUAAAGUUUUUGUAAAUAGUGAGCAUGAGACCUCAAUAUCCUGGAUUCAGGUGUUUCCCAACUAUUUUGAAAGUAUUAAAUGUGUCUGUAAGCGGGGCGUGGUAGUGAGCGCCUGUAGUCCCAGCUACUCGAGAGGCUGAGGCAGGAGAAUUGAUUGAACCUGGGAGGUGGAGGUUGCAGUGAGCCGAGAUUGCGCCAUGGCACUCGAGCCUGCAUGACAGAGCUAGACUCCCUCUCAAAAAAUAAUAAACAAUCCAGCACUUUGGGAGGCCGAGGCAGGUGGAUCAUUUGAGGUGGGGAGUUCGAGACCAGCCUGAGCAACCUGGAGAAACCCAGUCCCUAUUAAAAAUACAAAAGAUUUACCGGGCGUGGUGGUGCAUGCCUGUAAUCCCAGCUACUGGGGAGGCUGAGGCAGGAGAAUCCUUUGAACCUGGGUGGCAGAGGUUGCAGUGAGCAGAGAUUGUGCCAUUGCGCUACAGCCUGGACAAAAAGAUCGAAACUCUGUCUCAAACUAUAUAAUAAAUAAAUAAAUAUUUUCAUAUUUUACAUCCUUUUAAAAUACCUUUUUGAAAUUCCACACAACUUGAACAGGCCUUGAGAAAUAGGAAGCUAAUUUUCCUUGUAGCUCUGAUGUAACCUCAUAUUACAUUCCCUAUAAUUAAAAUUAAACUAAGCCACCAUGGCAUGUGUAUACCUAUGUAACUAUCCUGCAAGAUCAGCACAUGUACCCCAGAACUUAAAGUAUAAUUAAAAAUAUAUAUAUAAAAAAAUACCAAGCUGCAUAAUAUUUAUGUCAUGAGACAUUAUAUUGCAGUAAUAAAGAUCUUAAUUUCUUUUAAAAAAAGUAACUUUGGUAAGUAUUUAUUGUGUUAAAUGUGUCAAAUAGCAAUGCUGUAUUUAAAAGAUUUCCCAGCAUAACAGGAGGUUAAUGUGGAUAGGACUGUCUUCAGGAGCAAGUUCCCGAAAGGUGUGUUUAAAUAUAUUUGAAUCUUACUUAAAUAUACAAAAGAGGAUCUUGUUAUUUAAAGAAAUUCUCUGGGAAAGAGUUCUUUUCUAAAGCAAAUAUCACCUCACGGUUUAUCGUUCUGUUAUUCUAGGUUUCAUGGGCUGACUCAUUUUACUUAGAGCAAUCUAAUUACACUGACCUUUGUCGAGAAUUGGGAUUGAUGAGGUCCUAGAUCGAUCCCCAUCAAGUCCAGUUUCCUUUCACUGGUCUCUGGACAAGGACUGCCACAGCCCCGGCUGCCUGAUGCAAACGCACACCUUUGGUCUUCAGGGGCAAUGGUUUUACCAUCUUCAUAAAAAUACUUGGAGGACAGCUGCAUCCACAGACGUCAAAUACGUGAUGACUUCUUUGACCAUUCUUCUCAGUCUUUUCUUUCCCAAAUAAGCACUUCCAGAUACGGUUCAAGAUGGGACCGUCUGGUUGCAGGAAAACAAGCUCAGGCUCCCACUGAGUCUACAUUAUGACAUGGCAAUGGCAGCUUAGAGAGGUUCAGCUACUUGGGUCACCCCUUGUCAGGUGGGGGAGCUGAACCUUGGAUGCAGGGGUAUUUGUCUCUACUGUCUGAACUCUUCCUAACUGUUCGGAAUGACAGAAUGAGGAAAUGCACCCAAGGUGAAUUUUAUGUUGACUAUUACCUGCAAAAUGUCGGUGUCUGAUCCCAGCUUCAGCUGACCGUCCUGAUAUCCAGAGCAAUGGUUCCCAAAUUUUGGUCUAUGGUCCAGUGCCGGCUUAGGACCAAGGACUUACCAGUCUUUGAUGUGAGGAAAAUAAGAACAUAAAAUUGGUUGGGCACGGUGGCUCACACCUGUAAUCCCAGCAUUGGGAGGCCAAGGCAGGCAGAUCAUGAGGUCAGGAGUUCGAGACCAGCCUGACCAAUAUGGUGAUGGUCUCUACCAGAAAUACAAAAAUUAGCUGGGCAUGGUGGUGUGUACCUGUAAUCCCAGCUACUCAGGAGGCCGAGGCAGGAGAAUCACUUGAACCUGGCAGGUGGAGGUUACAGUAAGCUGAGAUCGUGCCACUGCACUCCAGCCUGGGCAACAGAGUGAAACUCUGUCUCAAAAAUAAGUAAAUAAAUAAAUGAAAUAAUGGUGAUAAGAACUUGUAGUUGUUUUUUUUUUUAGGUGCUCUUACUUGGCAAAAUGAACUGAUCAUUCUGAAUUGAAAUUCCACUUUAUGUAGAUUGCUGUGGAAUCCCAACUCCUGAGAAUGAUCGCUGUGAAAGGAGGAAGCAAGAAAGUCCUGGGCCUCUGAAGCAAAUAGGGAGGCGCCUUUAAUGGAUGAUGUUAGUGGAGACUGCAAUAAAAAUUCCUACUCAUAAAUAUCACCCUUUCCAUUGUGCCCAGCUUACUUUGAGUAGUCCUGUAUAAUAGGACCUAAAAUUCAUGAAAGGGCCAUCCCUUUUAUUUUAGCAAAAUGAUUGAGGGCUUUGUCUUUGAAAAAAACUCUGUUUGAAUGGGCACCCUGCUAGGGUGACUUGGAUGGGAAGAGAGAGGAUGUGGGUGUCGUGUGCCUUUCUCCCACUAGCUCAUUAUCUCAGUCCCUGUGGGCUGCUCUAACAAGAUACAUAGACUGAGUGCUUUGACACAAGAGAAAUUUAUUUCCCAUCAUUCUGGAGGCUAGGAAGUUCAAGAUCAAAGUGCCCAUAGAUUUGGUGUUUGGUGAGGGUUUGUUCUCUUCCUCAAAGAUGGUGCCUUCUUGUGGCGUCCACAUGGCAGGAGAGGUGAACUACUUCCCUCGGGCCUUUUUUUUAAAGAUAGAAUUUCACUUUUGUGGCCCAGGCUGGAGUGCAAUGGCUUGAUCUCAGCUUGCUGCCACCUCUGCCUCCCGGGUUCAAGUGGUUCUCCUGCAUCAGCCUCCCAAGCAGCUGGGAUUACAGGCAUGCACCACCUCACCCGGCUAAUUUUGUAUUUUUUGUAGAGAUGGGGUUUUACCUGUUGGUCAGGCUGGUCUUGAACUCCUGACCUCAGGUGAUCUGCCUGCCUUGGCCUCCCAACGUGCUGGAAUUACAGGUGUGAGUCACCAUGCCCGGCCAAGACUUUUUUUCAUAAGGGCCCCAAUCUCAUUCCUGAGAUGGAGCCCUCAUGACAGCAUCAUCUCCCAAAGACCUCACCUUCUAAUGCCAUUGACUUGGGGAUUAGGUUUCAACAUAUGAAUUCUGGGGGGACAUAAACAUUCAGGCCAUAGAACACAGGUGACUUAAUUUUCUGGGAAAUGUUAGGAGACUCUGGGGCAGCCAGAAUUUCUGGGUAGGGGGAUGGAUAGGAAGUGAGGAGGGGGUUGGGUGUAGGAAGACAGAGCACUGCCUAGCUGAGAGAACAGGGGUAGGGAGAGAGAGUCUUACAAGAAGGGGAUGCCCAGAGUGAUAUUCAACAAGGAUGGGGAGGCCAGAUUUUACCUGUUGAUCUACCUUGAAGCAAAAACCCAAACCAAAAUAAACACAAAAACCAAAAAGCAAAACUCCCACGAUGUCGUCAGAAAUGGGCCAUUUCCACGUGGAGUGGCAGAUGAGCUGAUGGAAUUCUUAUAGUUUCUCUAUUUCAGGAAGAAGAGAGUAUGAGGGAUGUCUUUUUCACUGUGUUCAUAUCAUUGUCUGAUGAUUAGAAUGACUGACAUGAUAAAUACAGGCUGGAGUACAAUGGCACCAUCUUGGCUCACUGUAACCUCUGCCUUCCAGGUUCAAGCGAUUCUCCUACCUCAGCCUCCCAAAUAGCUGGGAUUACAGGCACUGCAAAAUGGCCUCAUUUUCGAUGGCAGACAUUACUGGAAGGUUCAUCCUGUCUGUGUGUUCCCUAUCACCCCUACCUGCUGGUAGCCAUGAGUGGGUCCCCAGGGAUGAGGAUGGGGUUGUCUCUUCUCAGUGAUGGCCUCGUGGGUAAUGUCAUUAACUCUGUUAAUGACUCUUGCACUGGCAAGAGUCCAGUGGAGCAGAGAGAGACCAGGACGACCUGGACGAUCAGGGGCAGCCAGGUCUUGAUUUGGAAAAGAUGCCUGUAGAAAGGACACUCACUGAAAAGGUGACCUGUGUGCUACAUAAUGAAACAUAGAUUUUACCCACCAUGAACACCGGGAGAAGCACUGAAGCCUUUCUAACCAGGAGUUAUGAGAAGAGACAGGCAUUAGAAUCAUUCUGAUACCUGCUGAAACAGGUUGGUGAGUGGGGGUCAUGAGAAUUUGGGAGAGAGUUAAGCUUGGUAUGCUUUUGGGGUACCUAUCCUACCUAUCGUAUAUAUUUAACAAGAACAUGGCUUCUCGAGGGCAAGGUAUAUGGGUUUGUUUAUGGUUGAUAAAGGAAAAACUUAAGCCAAAUUAAAUUUGAAGGAGUUGGUCUGGGCGCAGUGGCUCAUGCCUGUAAUCUCAGCACUUCGGGAGGCCGAGACAGGAGGAUUGCUGAGCUCAGGGAUUCAAGUCCAGCCUGGGGUGAAACCCCAUCUCUACAAAAAAUACAAAAAUUAGUUGGGCGCGGUGGCAUGCACCUGUAGUUCCAGCUACUCAGGAGGCUGAGGUAGGAGAAUCACUGGAGCCUGGGAGGCGUAGGUUGCAGUGAGCCGAGAUCACACCACUGCACUCCAGCCUGGGCAACAGAGCAAGACUUUGUCUCAAAAUAAAUAAAUACAUUUAAAGGAAUUUCAUUGAGCAAUGAAUGAUUUGUGAAUUGGGCAGCCUCCCAAGCCAGAGUAGGCUCAGAGACUCCAGCGCAGUUACAUGGUGGAAGAUUCAUCAACAGAAAAAGGAAAGUGAUGUAUGGGAAAUGGAAGUGAGGUAUAAAACAGCUGGAUUGGUUACAGGUUGGCAUGUGCCUUAUUUGCACAUGGUUCAAACGGUUGGCUACGUUUGAUUGGCCAAAACUCAGUGACUGGCACAAGUGUAGGUUAUGGUGUGUUUACACGUCCACUAGCUAUAGUUCACGAUGUCCUGAACUCAAAAUAUUUAAGGUCAAGCUUAAAAUAUGUAAGGAGGCAGCUUUAGGCUAAACUUGAUUUAACACAGUGCAGUCUGUUUUGCUAUCAUGUGAAAUGUUAGGGCAAAAUUUUGCUCGAGUGCAAUUUGUAAAUAAGGGAAUAAUGUCAGUACUGAACCCAGUUUUGUGCCCUUCCAAAUGUUCUCGGCACCUGCAUCCCCCUCUUCCUGGCCAGGGAGGCUUCUAGACAGCUCAUGCAGCAACCUGGUCUCCCAGCACAGCUGGCUGUCUCAUCCUCUCAUCUUCCCCUGGGCACAGGGUCAUGGUCAGGUUCUAGGGGCUGUGACAGCGACGGCAUUCUGUCCAACCCUCAGGGACUCCAGUUUCCUUGGCGGCUAUCUGGGGUGGGAUUCCACCUGGAGGUUAGCAGAAUUCUUGUACUGUGAGGUAAACCUUAGCAAUGAGAGACAGGAGACAAGAAGAAGCUGGUAGGUCAACUGCCAGCCUCCCUUCUGCCAUCUUUCCUGAGAUGCAGUAAUUCCCUGUGAACUUUCUGGAGAUGACCCACAUGACCCAGGGAACCAGGGCUGUUUUCAUAAAACUGUGGCUGUCUUGGUAACACAACUUUAAAUUCCUUUCCUCUUUCCUGAUUCAUUCCCCUUCCCCAUCACUCCUGCAAACACCCACCCCCAAUAACCUGUAAGUUUUGCCUCAGAGCUGUUUUCCAGAGAAGCAGGUGAAGACAAUACCAGUGUAAGAAUGUGGAAGUCAUUUGGGUUCAUAUAUGAUUUUUCUUACACAAGAGGAGCCGGAAUAGAUCAUGGGAGUGGAACACAAGAGGAGCCGGAAUAGAUCAUACAUUUAUCACGAAGGGGGUAAUAAAUUCAGUGGCUGCCCAAGCAGCAAGGGCUUUUGGCUGAAUUUUGAGAAAAUUAAGAUGAAGGCCUGUUUCUGGAGCCCCUCCCUUGAGAGACACAGCUCUCGACUAGGUUAGAUGGGGCUGCCACCGGGCCCAGUUUUGCUGUAGCCCCACUGGCUAGGAGCCACCCCUCUGUUUAUGGUCCUCCACACUCCCAGCUCUGCUUUAACUGCUGUGCGGCUGAUAUGUUUACUGUGUUGUUUCUGUGCUUUUUUGUUUUUUUUUGAGGGGGACGGAAUCUUGCUUUGUUGCCCAGGCUGGAGUGCAGUGGCAUGAUCUUGGCUCACUGCGACCUCUACCUCCCAGAUUCAAGCAGUUCUCAGCCUCAGCCUCUCAAGUAGCUGGGAUUACAGGCACCUGCCACCAUGCCUCGCUAAUUUUUGUAUUUUUAGUAGAGACAGGGUUUCACCAUGUUGGCCAGUCUGCUCUCGAACUCCUGGACUCAAGGGAUCCGCCUGCUCCAACCUUCCAAAGUGCUGCGAUUAUAGGCAUGAGCCACAGUUUCUGUGCAUUUUUAAUGGCCCAGCGACAGCUUCCAGCCAGGCUGAGCUGCCUGCAUGUUGGGUUCCUGUUGUCUCCCCAGGAACCAAUUACUGUUUUUUGUGAGUAUUCUGGUUCCAAAGUUGCAUAGGUUUGGAGUGGUCUGCCCAAUCAUAUUUUUCUCUGAAAGGCUGUAAUUUAAGUGUGUGAUUUUUGAGAAUGUUGAGGUAUAGUCAGGUACGCCUAUGUUGCAACCUAGCAGAAAUGUUGGUUUCUCAAGCAGAUGAAAAAAAAAAAAAGACUUGUGGAAUGAAUACAAUGCUUUAGAAAUUAUUCCUAGUGAUAUGGAAAGUGGAUGAUUUAUUUUUUUGAAAACUUUUUGUUCAGAGAGGAUUUUAAGCCCUUACAUUGUAGCUAUUUAAAAAGACAAACAUUUCCCCAUUGCAGUGGUGUACCACGGGAUAAUGAGAUAAGAAUAUGAGGAAUAUCUUUCUGUAGCCCUUCUGAAUCCACUCUUCUCUCUUUUUCAGCGUGUUCUGUGCCUCGGAAGGCUGGACUGGAAGGCUGACUAAAUCAGGGGUGACUCUCUUUGCUGUAGGGCUUCUCGUUGGGUCCAGCCAAUGCCAGGCAAAGGAGGCAAUCCAAAGUGGGGAGAACAGCGAGGUGGGCCCACUCCUUUGUUAAAACUCCUGCUCUGUGUGUGCCACCUAUUUCCUUCUGGUGAGGCAGGAGAAUAGCAUCUGGAGGCAGGGAACCUAAGGACGAUUCACUCUGACUUCCUAGAACUAAAUCAAAAAGAAAACUCCAACUUUCCACACCUAAGUAACAAAAAAAAAAACACGAGGGUACUCACCACCCACCCACUAACCCCUUUUCUGCAUGGCAGAUGGAAAAUUGAAAGUAUCUCUGAUUGGCUGCUUUCUGCAACCAAUCAGACUGUUUGCUGGCCAAGUCUUCUUUGACUAGAAAUGUAACUUUGUAACUUCAAUUUAGCCUCUGAUUGGUUGUGGAAAGCAACAAGUCAGAGGCUUGCAUAGGUGUAAUCUUUGUAACUUCAGCCUCCUAUUGGUUGUGGAUAGCAACCAGUCAGAGGCUUGCAUAGGUGUAACAUUUGUAACUUCAGCCUCUGAUUGGUUGUGGAAAGCAACCAGUCAGAGGCUUGUGUAGGUGUAAUCUUUGUAAUUUCAGCCUCUGAUUGGUUGCUUUCUGCAACCAGUCAGACUAAUUGCAGAUCAUUCAUCUACAUAGGGUGUAUACCAGGUAACCAAUGGGAAACUUUUAGAGGGUACUUAAACCCCAGAAAAUUCUGUAAAGGGUCCCUUGAGCCCCUAUGCUUGGGUCGCCCCCCCACACUGAAGAGUGUACUUUCAUUUUCAAUAAAUCUCUGCAUUCGUUGCUUCA